AGUCCACCCUAAUAAUUAUUAUAAAGCUCAAAAUAAUCUAUAUCGCGUGUCAUCAAUAAGCAAUCAAGAUAGUAAAGUCAUUGGACAGAAAGUUUUGAAUUUGAGUUCAAUGUUCCAUAAUCCACUGGAAUCGUCUCUUCUUGAUAUUUGGCAAACAACUAAGUUAACAGUUUCACAAGAAUCCUACCAACAUAGCUUGAAAGACAUUACUAAAAUCUGUGCUUUAAGAAACAAAAAUGAUGAAUUUGGCUUUUUUCCAGUUAUACACUAUGACUGAGGACAGUAACAUAAAUUUCAACAACAUAUUCAACAACUCGCAUAAUCUUACUUCCUUACAACCAGUAUUAAAUAAUAUGGGCCCCCUACAACCUGUGACACUAGAAGGGAUGGUGGCACAUUUUUCAAAAGCAAUUGAACCCAUGUUUAUUAGGCUUACUAAUGAAGUCACUUCAUUACGUCAUGAAAUAAAUGUCCUGCGUAAUGAAGUUAAGGAAUUGAAGAAGGAGAAAUCGCUUGUUGAGUUGUUGAUGCCUUAAAGCCCUUUUAAAAAUAUAGACGAGUUUAUGGAUUUCGAAAAAAAAUUGCAGGAAGACAAAAAGUUUUUGAAUAUGUUUGGAAAGGAGCUGUUAACGGUUGCCAAAACUCCAAAUUUUACAAAAAACUGUUGGCGAAAGCUACUAGUAGACGAACUGGCGCAAAAGAUGUGUUGGAAGGGGACAGAGGAGAAAAAAAGUGUACGCAGCCUCAGUUCAGCAAAAGCAAUAAGAAAUGCAGCAAUUUCUAUUGGAUUGAGCGAGGAUGAAUAUAUAAAAAGCACAAAAUCUUUUUUCCAGUUCGCGAAAAAUAGGCAAGAAUCAAAACAAAAAUAUACUCCAAAGACAAAAAACAAAAAUUAAUUUUUUUCUUAUGUUAGUAAUAUACCUUAUAUUAAUAAUACACCUGAUAAAAAUGUACAAAAUAAAAAUUAAACUAUAAAAAAUAAUAAAAUUAAAAGGUUUAUAAAACUAUUACGAAGAUAAGUUUAAUUUAUAUAUGAUAAGAAAACUAUUUUUCUUCAAGCAUAGUUAAUAAUUAGACUUCUAUGCUUGUUGCAAACUAUAAACCAGCAAUAUUAAAGCAAGGGUUCAAUUUGAUUUAUUCAGCAAUUGUUUACAAGCCUUUCAUAAUAGUAAUAACAAGCUUAUUCUAAGAUUAAAGUUACUAGCUUGUUUCAUACUAUUGACUAGUAAUAUUAUCACAAGGGUUCAAUUUUCAUUAUUCUAUAAUUAUUAAAUUGCCUUUCAUAACAGUAAUCAUAACAGUUUU